UACGUAGGGUGCGAGCGUUGUCCGGAAUUAUUGGGCGUAAAAGGGCUCGUAGGCGGUCUGUCGCGUCGGGAGUGAAAAACUCAGGGCUUAACCCUGAGCCUGCUUCCGAUACGGGCAGACUAGAGGUAUGCAGGGGGAGAACGGAAUUCCUGGUGUAGCGGUGAAAUGCGCAGAUAUCAGGAGGAACACCGGUGGCGAAGGCGGGUUGCUGGGCCGACACUGACGCUGAUGCGCGAAAGCCAGGGGAGCGAACGGG
rnacentral:rRNA from 1 species